UCUGGCUUCUCAGAAUGUGCAGUCUGUCGCCACCUGGCGACAAGAGUGUCUGUGCCCUGUGGGACAUCCUCAGAAUUAAAUCUGCACCGGAUGGAGCCAGGGCAGUGCAGAGCUGACCGGAGGCGGCUCCUGGCGAAGCUCUGCGACCGUCCUGGGUGGUACCCAGUCUAGGACACCCGGAGGUGUAGAAGAGCAGGAGCGAAGAAUAAAGGAGCAAAAGGCGGGAAAGAGACCAAAAUCUGACCUCAGCAGAUGACCCUGCAUUGAUUAUCAUGGCAGCAAGGGUCACAGACUUGUCCCACCAGAAGGAAGUUGUGAGAAGGGGAGGGAGUUGGUCGGGGCUCUUCCAGGAGUGGGCUCUGGGCUUCGGUGAAGUCCACACAGCUCUACGAAAGGAUUCAUGCAGGGCAAGACAGGCUUGAGAAAUCUGUGAUCGCUCUUUUGUUUACUUAUAAACUUGUUUAUUUCUCUUAAUUGCUUGCUCAGGCAGAGCAGGCUAUCUUGAGGACUAUCUGUCUCAAUAAACAAUUCUC